rnacentral:lncRNA from 1 species
UAUAUUAUACUUCAACUGUAACUAACUAGAAAAAUGUUGAAGGAUUAACAUAAAUUCUUUCAUAGACAUACCAUCGCCAAUAUAAUGCCCCUCUGAAAAUUAAAUACCAGUCACUAGUCUGUCAACACUGAGGUUGUGAGUUGAUAUCUGCAUUCAACUUCUAUCUUAUUUGGCUAGGAUUGCAGAAGGUUAGUGGUUCUUACAGGCACACUGACUUCCUCCACCGAUAAAAACUGACCGCCACAGAAGGUUAGUGGUUCUCACAGGCACACUGACUUCCUCCACCGAUAAAAACUGACCGCCACAGAAGGUUAGUGGUUCUUACAGGCACACUGACUUCCUCCACUGAUAAAAACUGACCGCCACAGAAGGUUAGUGGUUCUCACAGGCACACUGACUUCCUCCACCGAUAAAAACUGACCGCCACAAAAUAGCCAACAGUGCUGAAAGUGGCAAAUUGAAAAAAAAACUUUUAAUUAUGAAAUUUUAAUAGACAAAGAAAAGGUCCCCUUUGAUGAUAAUAUUUUUCUUGUUUGUUGAUACUUGACCAUAUUAUUAAAAAUUUAUCAAUUCAUAGCACAUCACAUUUCUUUUGGCCUUUGGGAUUUUUUUACAGCAUGGUCCAUUUUUAUUGUACUGGUUUUUAGAUUUCCCAGAGUUAUUGGUCUUGAUUUGUCAAAUGUUGAGAUUGUUGGUGUGUAUUGAGGUCGAUUGUUGCUAUCAUGAUGUUUAAGGUAUAAUGGGACCAGUAAUUUUUUUUUUUGUUAUGAAUGUGCAUGUUAUUACUGACAUAUGGGUGAAUAGUUAUUUUCAGUAUGUCAUGGGUUUUUUCCUUAGCCUUUUUUUUAUUUAUUUGUUUAAUGAAUAAACCCUCUUUUCCAAAGUCUUCCCUCUUGGGCAAGUGAGCCUAACAUAUGUCAUGAUUCUAGAUAGUCUCAAGUAGGUAAAUAAUUUGACAGAGAACUGUGCACAGAAUUAGUGCCUAUGUUUAUCAUGUCUGUUGUGUUUAUUUUUUAAGCCAGUUCAUGUAACUGGUAUGCCAGUUCAUGAAAGUGGAUAAGAGUAUAUUAAUUCACCUUUUUUUUUUUUACAUUUUUUAUUUCCAUCUGAUUUUGGUUAAUUUAAGUGUUUAGGUUCAUUUCUCAGAAACACCAAGUCAUCCUGAAAAUGCCUGAAAUGAUGUCAAUUAAACAACAAUCAAUUAAAUAACGUCAGGAUACCCAAAUUGCACCUAUUUAACAUGAACAGCUGAGAAAUUCUUAAAAGUUUUCUUUGAGACCAAACAAUUUGUAUUUGGAUUAUUUGACAUUGUACACAUCUUACAGAAUUUGUGUAUAUAUUCAAAUAUACAUUAAAAAGUUCACAAUUCAUAUCAACAGCUGAAGUGUUUACUGAAAAAGCAAAACGUACGGAAACGUCGCCAUACGACGUCAUUAAACGUCAUCUUUUUAAAAUAAGCAAAUACAACAUGUUACAUUAAUAUUUCUCCUCAUAAUCUUGCCAUAUGGGAAAACACACAAUUCAACUACAUUUGGGUGAUUCAACCUUAAUUUAUACUUUAAAAACCUACAGUAUGAUAAAUACAUCUGAAUGCCUAUUAUGGUAUAAAUUUUAGGUCAACAAGGAAGAUAAAGCACUCAAAUAAAAUAAUUAAAGUUAUAUUUACCUGGCUUCCAGGAUGUCCUUAUCUUCUAGGAUGAUACCAGUUUGAUUUGUAGGUUGUUUAUUAUUUAUUUGUUGAUGAGAUUUUAUCCCUAUAAGUGCUAUUUCUAAACUAUCCAAUCAUUCUAGUUAUUUGUUAUAUUACCAACAUUUACACCAGUGUAUAUUUCACCAAAGAGAGUGUUUGUUAUUUAUCAUUGUUUUGUUAUAGCUGGUUGUUAUUUGGUUUGUCAGUUAAUAUCGCAUAUCAAUUAGAAUUUUAAAGUUCUUACUUUGCUCAUCAGAAAGAAAAUGUAGAUUUUGUAUAUAAUAUUUCAAUUAAGUAAUUGUUGUGUGUUUAAUAUUAAAUGAUGUAUAUAAAAUUUCUACUUCUGUUAAAGCUAGAUAUACACAUUUAUAUUGUGGAACUGUCUAUUUACCUAGCCUUGUUUAAAUAGGGAUACAAGAAAAAUAGAAACAUAUUUAUAAAUAUUUUUAAGAACUGUUUCUAAUAUAAUGCUAUUAGUAAUUAGCUAUUUUCAGUCAUAAUACUGGGUACUACUAAGAUUAUUCAUAUUUUUUAUGAUCUCAGAAAUUUUUAGAAGACAUUUUAGUUCCAUUUAAUUUUGUUAUAUUUUUCUGAAUAUGAGGAAUGUUACAUUAGACCAUAAUUACCUAAUAUAUAGACUGUCAAUCAAUGAAAGGUUCACAAAUAACUAACUGAAGAAAAGUUACCUGUAUUUAGACAAACAGUAAUGCCAUCCUAUUGAAUACUUUUGAAUACUAAUUGAAAGUAUGGAUCUAUUCUAAGUUUUGUAAAAAAAGGGUUGAAGUUUAAAUCAUUUCAUGUCAUUUGUUGACAAAGAUUUUUGUCACACAAAUUUGUUUUUGGUAUGCAUGGGAGUGGUUGACCUCAAGGUGUAUAUCUUUUUUCUUGUUCGUGUGAUAUUUUCCUCCUAGCUAUAGGCCAUAUUUAAUACACAUCUCAACCAAACCAUGAUGAAAUAUAUAUUUCUCUAAACGGAUCUCAUAUCAUAUAGAUUUUUUUUUUUACUUUUUUGUAUUCACCAUCAUUUUUAAAAGUUUUUAUUUUUAGAUCAGUAAUCUUUUUAUGUCUGUGCCAUAUUUUGUUAUGUAUAUUUUGAACAAGCAAUUGUGUAAACCCUUCUUCAAAGCUUUAUCUAUAAUUAUGUUUACAGUAAAUGAAAAUCAAGUCUGUGCCAUAAAAAAUUUAAAAGUAAGGUCUAUAUAUCAAAUAUAUUGUCAUUCAUAUUUAAUGAAACACCACAAAGGGUCCCAAUUAUGCUUUUUGGCCUAUUGAUACUUUUUGAAAUCUGUCUGUGUGCUUAUCGAAUAGAUUUAAGGUAGAUUUUUCAGUAUUUGAGGGUUUUUUUUAUAUAUUGCAAAAGACUUAUGAUUUCAAAACCCUUUAAAAAGGACAAAGAGUAGAAUACCAACACCACACCAACAGAUAUAAGUAGAUGACAGACAUAGUGCAAACUGAAAGUAUCCAGCAUAUUGAUUCAUAAUUAACACCAUCUAUAACUACCCUGUUGUCCAUGUUGCUGUGGUUUCAAGCAGUGUCGGUCUUCUUCCCAGUCUUCUUGAAACAGAGUAUCUGGAAUUGGAACUUUAAAAACUUGUGGCAUGCAAUUAUAUGACUAAAACACUAGAAAUGUAAUGCAUAAUCAUGAUUUAAUACUGACACAGAAAAAAUAACUUAUCUGAUACGUCAGACAUUCCAGAAUUUUAGGACUCUUGUAAACUUUCAUAUUUGUGCUUUUUUAAUGUAAAAAAAGAAGAAAAAAGUAGACUUUUCAAUAUUCUGAAGUGUAUAUAUAUUUUUCUAACAAAUUGCUAUAUAAAUUGUUAGUACAAGUGCAUCCAUUCCAUUAUGUUGUGAAUACUUGCCUUCCAUGACACAACAUCAUUUUAGUAUC